CGUGAGGAACCUGCCUUUCAGAGGGGGACAACAGCUGGAAACGGCUGCUAAUACCGCAUAACACAUAGGUGUCGCAUGGCAUUUAUGUCAAAGAUUUAUCGCUGAGAGAUGGCCUCGCGUCUGAUUAGCUAGUUGGUAGGGUAACGGCCUACCAAGGCGACGAUCAGUAGCCGGACUGAGAGGUUGGCCGGCCACAUUGGGACUGAGAUACGGCCCAG
rnacentral:rRNA from 1 species